UUACUUUUUGUUGGACUAGAGUAAAUCUCUUACUCACAUCCUUCCUUUUGUACCGUAAGGUACUAAUAUCCCCACUUAUGUUAUCCACCUCACGAUUAAGUUGAUACUCGAGAUACAUGCCAUCGUUCGAUCUAUCAUCACCAAUAGUCGGGUACAUGCAAUCGUUCGAUCUAUCAUCACUAAUAGUCGAGAUUUUAGUACUAACUUGAUCAUGGGGUGGAUAGCACGGGUGAAGAUAUUAGUAUCUUACGGUUCUAGUACCUCACGGUAAAAAAGAAGGUCGGGAAUAAAACUCUUCUUCCGAUGUUCUUGUCUUAACAGUGCAUGUGUUUGGCAAGUACCUGUUUGCUUACUGUACCAUGAAUACGAAGGGAACUAUCCGUCCACAGUAUGCCGUGCUGACUAGUUGGAAAUGAACCCCUCGUGUUUCAAAAUAUCCUCUUUUUUUUACCGAAAUUUCAGAGCAUUCUGAUUCUGCGAUAUUCUUUUAGUUUGGUAAAAUAUGCUUGUAGAUCAUGCCAAAAAAGAACUGGACAUGCUUUCCCGUAGUGAUCCACGUUCUCUAAUUGUAAUCACUAAUUUGUAUAUGCAAUUUAUCUCUAGAAAUUGACACUAGUGAACCAAGAAAUUAAUAUAACUGACGAAGAGUUGGGAAUAGUUCACUUUGUGCAGGCGUGCUAGGAUUAUCAUCAAGUGUUCUACAUCUAAUAGGACACUGAAGCAGUAAAAUAAACACUGGCCAUUUAUUGACUUCUGCUUGUACAUGUGUAGAAGUAUCUCGUGAUUUCUGCCGUAUAGGAACUGUCUGUGUACUCGUUUUGUGUGUAGAAUGGAAUAUCAGUACUGUGCUGUCAUCCAUGACCAAUAUUCUCGCUAAUACUAUUGCGUGAUUUAACUAAACAGUUAGCUACCUCUUCCUGGAACAGUGUAUUAGCACCAAGAAGAACAUACCUGAGUUCUUCAUGCGUGUAGGACCAACCAACUAAACACUGUUGGCUUCCCUCACCUGCAUCUAAUUUGCUCUCUCAGCAAAGUCUUUAUCAUGCUUACAAGGACAGUGCUACGGAAAUCGAUCGGUAGCUCUCUGCAAGUUCCAUUUUUCUUUGUCAGGGACAUGCAUCUAAGUUCUAGGUCUUGCUUUGCUCAUAGUGAUAUGCACACUUGUCUCUGUCUGUCCUUAAGCACAGUUUGUUUACAAAGAUGUGCUACAGUGCUAAUAAUAGACUGGAAACUUCAGUAUAAGGAAAAAGUUAACUUGCUCCGUUAGUGGUCAAGAAAAUAUUAUGGGAAAAGAAUAAUUUUGACAGGAGAAAGGUCCAUGCUUACCAUUUCGUCAAAUUCAGGUGAACCAUUUCAGAUGUGUCUCUGAACCUUCCUAUGGGCUCCGCUAUCUAACACACCAAAUAAAUGACCAAAUUAACUCCUCGUCAGUAUCAUGUUUCCUCCAAAGUUUUCAUGCAAAAUUCCACGAGUUUCUACGACUUUCCAACUACCGAAUGGCCGCGAGGUCAAGAAUCCGAUCACCACGUAGGACCUCGUUUCUGACUAAAAUGUUUGAGCUACUAGCUGCAUUCAGAUGACCCAAUCAAGAAGACAGGAAGAACAUUAGAACAGUGUCUUACCAAUGCAUCGAUGAUCAAUCCAUCCAUCCAUGGACGUGCUACUUAGCUCAAAAGCUCAAGCUCCCUUCUCAUGGCGCCACCGCC
rnacentral:lncRNA from 1 species